rnacentral:snoRNA from 1 species
UCCCGGGCUGAUAACUGGAUGGUUUGAUCGGAUAGUAUUCAUACUUAUGAGCAUAUACACUUAUGCUUUUCAGUCCCAUACUGUCUUUUAAUUGUCCGGGAGAACAAAUUAUUGUGGGAAUGCUUCUUACACGAUGUUUUAUUCCGCAAGGAAUUCCCAUAUUUUACAUUCGUUUACUUUCCCUCAACAUCU